rnacentral:sRNA from 1 species
AGCGCCUGUGAUGGGUCCGGCGUGGAACAAUCGUGGUUUCGCAGGCAGCCGUUUCACGUACGAUCCCGUACAAUCAGGGAAUUUCCCUGAUUUUAACGACUUC